AUCUAUGAGUUUUAUUGUGCUAUUUUAAGGCCCUUAUUGGUCACUUUUUUAGGCUGAGAAGAAAAAUCGAUGUUUAUCCUGUUAAAAGUCAACCAAUCCCGACACGGACCCUCCCCUUCCCCCAAUAAAAGGCAGGUUUGUCCGUUCCUAUCUGCUGCAGAGGCGGUGAUGUGGAGCCUCUUUGUGCUCCUGCUGGUGAGACUCUGCUCACUUCUUUUAUGGCCACGAGACCCAGUCUGAGCUGCAGAACGCGCCUAAUGAGGAGGUGCGGCGGAGACAUGGCUUUUACCAGGCUCCAGAACUGCUCGUGACCUUCACCAAACAUGACUCGUGUUUCUUUGUGUUUUGCACUUACUUUUUAAUCAUCCCAUUAUUAGUGCUGUCUGAGGAUUGUGCUUUUCUAUUUUAAAUGAAAGGUGCUCUAACAAAUGAGUAAAAAACGAUGCUUGCAUGUGACCUUUUGCCCUAAUGUGUUYAUUUCAGGAUGAUUCCUAGUUAAAUUUGAAUUAUGUGCACACAAACCUAGCAUUAAAGCAGCAAAAGGUUACAUGUUGGUACAUAAGGUUGAGCUACCUUUCUCAGUUUAAACUCACUUUGUUGUAUCAUGUCAGUGAGAGAAACAUAAAUUUACCUGAGUAGAUUUGACCCCAAAGUUUAAAGAAUUUUGUACUUUUUUGCAUAAAUUAAAUAAGGAGUGCAAUUUGAUUAAAUAUUCAUUCAGAUGGAGAUGUGUUACUAUUCAGUUCCUCACUGCAUGACUUAAUUUUCUCGUUUCCAAGAAGACGAAAGUAAAACAUGCAAAAAUAUUUUUAUUUUCCUUUGUGACAAACAUGCAAAUAGGUUCUGAGAAAUUCUGUGAAUUCUACAUGUACAGCACCAAAGUGUGAUUCAAACAGAAUAAAAUUAGACCAACUGUAUAGGCCGUUUUAUAAGCUUGAGAUAUUAACUGAUUUUGUUGCAUAAAAGUUUGUUUUCUAUUUAAAUUAAAUUACAUUAAAAAUAAAUUGUUUCCGUUUGUGUCUGCCCACCAGGGACGUAAAGACUUGAAGACGGAGGAUCAGAACUUGUUGAGGUAUUGAGUUGUGCAAAGUGCAGCUUUAUCACAUCUCUUGUAACCUCAAGCCCAUUGCAGACACUUCUGAUUUCUACAUGUUUAAAAAAAUACACCACCAUAGGUCAUAUGAAGUUCUCAGGGAGGAGCAAAUACUAUCUGCAAUCAUUAUCAACAAGACAGUGCAAAGUGAUGACAUAUUUGCAGAAGCAGCCUGUCUAACAAGACGUGUGUCACGGGUGACUGAGGACACGCAUUUGGUCGUUCAUCUCAUCAUCAGCAGCACUGACGAAACUGUGGGCUCGGUUACACCUUUUUGUUCUGAGAAAAGUAUAAAACCCACACAAAUAAGCCCAAAGUUACAGUAAACAUCAACGGAUGUAUGGUAAUGAUCACAGUUUUUAAACACUUUGGAGGCAAUGAUCUGGGUGGAAAAUACAUGUUUUUGUUAGGAGAUGAUUAAAAAGCUCUUCAUCUUUUGUA